rnacentral:rRNA from 1 species
UGAACGCUAGCUACAGGCUUAACACAUGCAAGUCGAGGGGCAGCGAGAGGAAAGCUUGCUUCCUGUCGGCGACCGGCGCACGGGUGAGUAACGCGUAUCCAACCUUCCCCUUAGUAGGGCAUAGCCCGGCGAAAGUCGGAUUAAUACCCUAUGUUUUCCGAUGAGGACAUCUGAGCUGGAAUAAAGAUUUAUCGCUAAGGGAUGGGGAUGCGUCUGAUUAGGUAGUCGGUGGGGUAACGGCCCACCGAGCCAACGAUCAGUAGGGGUUCUGAGAGGAAGGUCCCCCACAUUGGUACUGAGACACGGACCAAACUCCUACGGGAGGCAGCAGUGAGGAAUAUUGGUCGAUGGGCGAGAGCCUGAACCAGCCAAGUAAGCGUGCAGGAUGACGGCCCUAUGGGUUGUAAACUGCUUUUAUCGGGGGAUAAAGUGAGGGACGCGUCCCUUUUUGUAGGUACCCGAUGAAUAAGGACCGGCUAAUUCCGUGCCAGCAGCCGC